rnacentral:rRNA from 1 species
AUACGGAGGGUGCAAGCGUUAUCCGGAUUCAUUGGGUUUAAAGGGUGCGCAGGCGGACUUGUAAGUCAGUGGUGAAAUCCCGGGGCUCAACCUCGGAACUGCCAUUGAUACUGCAAGUCUUGAGUUUGGUUGAAGUGGGCGGAAUGUAGCAUGUAGCGGUGAAAUGCAUAGAUAUGCUACAGAACACCGAUCGCGAAGGCAGCUCACUAAACCAACACUGACGCUCAGGCACGAAAGCGUGGGGAGCGAACAGGAUUAGAAACCCCGGUAGUCC